rnacentral:rRNA from 1 species
UACGAAGGGGGCUAGCGUUGCUCGGAAUCACUGGGCGUAAAGGGUGCGUAGGCGGGUCUUUAAGUCGGGGGGGAAAUCCUGGAGCUCAACUCCAGAACUGCCUUUGAUACUGGAGAGCUUGAGUCCGGGAGAGGUGAGUGGAACUGCGAGUGUAGAGGUGAAAUUCGUAGAUAUUCGCAAGAACACCAGUGGCGAAGGCGGCUCACUGGCCCGGUACUGACGCUGAGGUGCGAAAGCGUGGGGAGCAAACAGG